rnacentral:rRNA from 1 species
GAUGAACGCUGGCGGCGUGCCUAAUACAUGCAAGUCGAGCGAACGGACGAGAAGCUUGCUUCUCUGAUGUUAUCGGCGGACGGGUGAGUAACACGUGGAUAACCUACCUAUAAGACUGGGAUAACUUCGGGAAACCGGAGCUAAUACCGGAUAAUAUUUUGAACCGCAUGGUUCAAAAGUGAAAGACGGUCUUGCUGUCACUUAUAGAUGGAUCCGCGCUGCAUUAGCUAGUUGGUAAGGUAACGGCUUACCAAGGCAACGAUGCAUAGCCGACCUGAGAGGGUGAUCGGCCACACUGGAACUGGGACACGGUCCAGACUCCUACGGGAGGCAGCAGUAGGGAAUGUUCCGCAAUGGGCGGGAGCCUGACGGAGCAACGCCGCGUGAGUGAUGAAGGUCUUCGGAUCGUAAAACUCUGUUAUUAGGGAAGAACAUAUGUGUAAGUAACUGUGCACAUCUUGACGGUACCUAAUCAGAAAGCCACGGCUAACUACGUG